AUUACAGCAAAAUGGCAGGAUGAAGUGGUUUCAAAGGCUGUUUGGAGUCAUCUCCAUUUAAGAUCCAGUGCCCUACCUGCCAAUUCGUCUGGUGUUUUAAGUGCCACUCUCCUUGGCAUGAAGGUGUUAACUGCAAGGAGUACAAAAAAGGAGACAAAUUGUUGCGUCACUGGGCCAGCGAAAUUGAGCAUGGGCAGAGGAAUGCCCAGAAGUGUCCAAAGUGCAAGAUCCACAUCCAGCGAACUGAAGGAUGUGACCAUAUGACCUGCUCACAAUGUAACACUAAUUUUUGUUACCGAUGUGGUGAGAGAUACCGCCAGCUCCGAUUUUUUGGAGACCACACAUCAAACCUCAGUAUAUUUGGAUGCAAAUAUCGCUACCUCCCAGAGAGACCUCAUUUAAGGAGAUUAGUGCGAGGGUCAGUCUGUGCUGGAAAAUUAUUCAUUGCACCUCUAAUUAUGGUUUUGGGAUUGGCACUAGGGGCCAUAGCGGUUGUAAUCGGUUUAUUUGUAUUUCCUAUCUAUUGCCUUUGUAAAAAACAGAGAAAACGAUCACGGACAGGUAUGCACUGGUAACAUGCAGAUGAUUUCAU
rnacentral:lncRNA from 1 species